CUUUCAAUGUGGAGCCACCACGCUCUGCACUGACAUGCUCGUACGUUACUCCUUCAAAUUUCUUUUACAAGAGGAACCAUGGCCCAAUUCCCAUCGUUGAAGAUAUUGAAUGGUACUCCGUUUUGGUGGAAAAUCCCAAACAGCUUUUCAUGAAAGAUAUCAGGAUAUUGCCCAAGUAAUGUCACUGCCACUUUACAGGGAAUGGAAAGAGCAAGGGAAAGCUCUAGUGCUUAAGAAGAACGUGUUCAAGUAUUGACCUUCAGAUUGCCAGGGAGUUGUGUUGUGUUGUUUCUGAAGGUAAGAGAAAUGAUUGUUGAAGGGGGUUAAAAGAUGGGGUCAUGCAUAUAAAAUCACGUGAUGCUGCUUUAGAUCAUAGCCUCCUACAUGUUAGUUCACGCAACUCAAUGGCAAGGUGUAACAGCCAACUAGUAUAUAUCUGUGAGAUGAAUUAUUAUGAAGUUGAAAGCUAUAGAUAAAUGGACUUAAGAGGCAUCUAUGCAAACUAAGUCUAAUGUUGCAUCAUGUUUCCCAUAAUUUGAGAAGUUCCACAUUAUGUUGCCCUUGAAAGGUGAAAUUUAUAUGAAUACUUUGUUUAACAAA